ACAUAUGCAAAAAGCAGAAAUCUUCUUCCCACCAUGGCUGGGAAGCAGCAAAUCCAGCUCUGGGUGAGCAGAGAGCUGCAAGCACAACCAUCAGCCUUUGUGUUUAGCAGUCCAGGAUGGAUUUUGGGCGCGUGGGAGUCGCUGAUAGCGGCCCGAAGAUCUGGACAAUAACGCCUCCUGACAGCUCCCGUGUCCCUCCCAGGCCUGAGGAAGGGUCCUGCUCCACUGAACACUGCGGGUUGGAGGAGCGAUGUUUGGUGGAGCUGACGGCCCAUUUCCAUGGGGAAAUGAGGAUGGAGAGGAGAACAGGCUCAUCCAGCACCCCUCCUCAGGGGGCUUUCCCCAAAUUCAGCCCUGCAUUUCGUCCCAGGACGUCUCCAGGCCAAGAGCCACAAGCUUUCAGCGGUGUUUGUCUUGGAGCCCUCCACCGGCUCCAUCCCUGCAGAGAGCGGGGCUGUGUGGCCCCCGCGCUGUCGUUCCUCCACGUGGCGCUCCCGAAAGAGCCCCGAGUGCCUCGCCAAGAGGAUGAAGUCAUUUAUUUAUGCCUGGACAAUGUGCUUCGGUACACGCCGAGCCAUCGGCGCUGACCUACAGACACGCUUCUGCGCUGACGUGGAUGAGGAGAGGUCAGCACGGAGCAGCCUCCAUGGCCGUACCCUUUCCCACAGGGGCAUCCAAAUAGGACAUCCAUUUAUUCACAUUAAAAAGGUGCCGGGGCA